rnacentral:lncRNA from 1 species
CUGCUGCUUCUUCUGUUACAACUGCUGCUUCUUCUGUUACAACUGCUGCUUCUUCUGUUACAAGCUCGAAGUCAUGGGAAGAUUUCAGAAAGUAUCGCUCCCAGCAUCCAGGCCCUCUAUCUAUGAGGGCCUUCCAUCGCUGGUGUUUGUAUGGGGACGACCAUCCCUCCUUUAGAUGGAGGGAUGGCACCCCAUACAACACGGGAAAUAGAGCGGAUGCUGGGAGGAGAAGACAACGUGGCGCAAAAGUUGUCAA